rnacentral:lncRNA from 1 species
UGGAGAGAAGAUCCUUCCACUUCGAGUAACUUUACUAGUCCCAACAAUGUCAACGUCAUUAGGAUUAGCAGAAUUAUCAUCUUGCUUUAUGCCGUGGAUGUAAACAUCACCUCCAUAAUUCCACGGAAUGGCUUUGCUUGAGGAAUACGGUACUGGGCCAGGUGCAGUAAUGAUUAGGGGAGCUACCUUGGGCUCAGCAGUAAUCUUCACAGGCACUCUAGUAGCGGUAAUCUUCACUGGAACUUUGGACCUAGCAAUC